UGGGGAAUAUUGGACAAUGGGCGCAAGCCUGAUCCAGCCAUGCCGCGUGAGUGAUGAAGGCCCUAGGGUUGUAAAGCUCUUUCACCGGUUAAGAUAAUGACGGUAACCGGAGAAGAAGCCCCGGCUAACUUCGUGCCAGCAGCCGCGGUAAUACGAAGGGGGCUAGCGUUGUUCGGAUUUACUGGGCGUAAAGCGCACGUAGGCGGACUAUUAAGUCAGGGGUGAAAUCCCGGGGCUCAACCCCGGAACUGCCUUUGAUACUGGUAGUCUUGAGUUCGAGAGAGGUGAGUGGAAUUCCGGGUGUAGAGGUGAAAUUCGUAGAUAUUCGGAGGAACACCAGUGGCGAAGGCGGCUCACUGGCUCGAUACUGACGCUGAGGUGCGAAAGCGUGGGGAGCAAACAGG
rnacentral:rRNA from 1 species